rnacentral:lncRNA from 1 species
AAUAAGAAAAAUGAUUACAUUAAUAUUAAACAUGUACUUAACUAAAGCUAUUGAGUUUCAUACACUUGCAAAAGAGAAAGAUGAAACAGAAAUGAAAAAAUAAAAAGAGCUUCACCAUGGUAUACAGUGGGUCAAAAUAUAAUACUUAAGUAACAACGAAACAGCCACAGCGUAUGGGCAUACCGAUUUGAGAAGAUGUUCAUGGUCUCAAAGCUAUAUAUAGGGGGUGGAUUUCCCAAAAGCUGGGGAGGCUUUUUGGGUUCUCUCUAUAUUCUCUCCUUUUUUCUUCUAAAGAAAGAUG